rnacentral:misc_RNA from 1 species
CACACUACAUAAGCAAAGCACUGGACAAGAAACCAGCUUUUUGUUUAUGAAAUUCGUAUUCAUUCAAAAAUUGUUGCAGUGUAUAAAAAAAUGAAUUAAUGUUUUUUGUGUAAAAAUAAAAUAAAUUAUUAAUUUUUAGGUCAAUAAGUGAUAGUCCUCUGGGAUCCCCGUGUCCCUCUGACAUGUAUGAAGGCAAUCUAACUCUUUACGAAAUCGAUCCACACGAGGUGAGCGCGAUGAGUACGGACGCGGUGGGCAAGCUGAAGGGCGCGUUCCUGUUCCACGUGCGUGGCGACGUCACGGCCGCGGCGCGAGAGCUGGCCGCGCUGUUCCCGCGCGAG